GUAGGUGAACCUGCGGAAGGAUCAUUAACACGUCCACACGUAUCAACCCUCGCGAAUCUGUUUAGUCGAUCCUUAGAAAUUGGGAGCUGAUGAACGUCGGAGAAAACUGUUACGAUUGGGGAGGGGAGAAUGCUCGUCCGUAUAUCGGAGAACUCAAGAUUUUGAUUCUUCGGUGUCGGCUCUGGGUACUUUUUUCCUCGACAGUUUUUGUUUAUCACUAUGGCUCUCAGUUUCAAACAAGAACAUGAAAGGAUCGUUUACCCUUUCGAUUUUUUAAAACCCCUUGUACAAUAUGUACUGAAUCUCUUCUUUUUUGAUUGAGCCUUUUGUCCUCGGAUGAAAACUCUAAAAAAAAAGAAAAUACGAAACAAAUGAACAACUCUUAGCAACGGAUAUCUUGGUUUCC
rnacentral:misc_RNA from 1 species